rnacentral:lncRNA from 1 species
UACUAAGAAAUUUUCCCUAUCAUCAAGUCAUUCUAUAAUAAUCUCUACAAGGUGCUUGUGCCUUCUUUUGAUACAUCUUCUACUGUCAGGAACUGCAUAUUGGACUCCGUGUAUCACUGGACUUACUUCUCAGCUCAACUUUUAUCUAACCAGUAGCAAAAACAGAUAAUGAAAAAAAAAAAAGCAAUAAUCACUAAAAGGUCCCCGGGAGUCCCCAGAACCUCUGGUUCCAGCUUUUCCCCUUCCAGCCAUCCCCCAUGAAGAUCCACCACAAUUGUUUUUCUGAUAGCAAAACACAGAAGAGGAGGAAGAUCUGUACAGGAAAGAGGUGUCCAGGUUCACCUACAUUUUUCCUAACUCCAGACUCUCUCUAUGAAAGACAUUCCUUGCUCUCUUCCCAGCUGAUGAAACAGUCACACUGAGAGCAUGGCCUGCUUCUCCCAAGUCCUACCUGACUCCAUCUCUCCUGGCAUUUUCACUGGGGGCCUGGUCUCUGCUUAUGAAAAAUUCUUUCCAUUAGCCCUCCAAAGACAAAACAAGAAAAAAAAUCAAUGACUGACUUGGGAAAAAAUGGAGGAAUGCAUGGAAGCACUUCAUUGAACUACAUGGUAGUAAUGGUUAUUUCUUUUGGACAGACAUAUUAGUAAAAAAGUUAGCAAUUUCAGAAUGACUAAAUUUGGCAAAACUUUUCAAUUAAAACUUCUGAAAGAGAAGGUAAUACUCAACCCAAUACUUUUGAUUUAGGUGUUUGUGAGUAGAAAUAAUAACAAUAAUAAGAAGUUAAAAUGGUAAUACUUUGUAAGUUUUUUGUUUGUUUGGUUGGUUGGUUUUUUGUGCAGGCUAUUUUUGAAGAGUGAAAUAUCAACAACUAAAUCAAGUUUUAUAUUUAAGGACAUACUUUCCAUCUAGUUAAGGCUGUCUCCUUUUGUUAUGAGUAGAGAAGUUGAAUAGACUUUUUUGUUUAUUUUACUGAAUAACAACAAUUCAUAUCAAACUGUUUCCUUCUCCCACUUUCCAUUAGUAUCAAAAAUGGCAUUAUUUAUACAGCCCUACCUAUGACAGUAAUAUAUAAUAUCUGUCAAUACACACUGUAUGUAAUAAGAAAGACCUGCCACUAUGUAUCAUUUCAACACUUUAAAAUCCUUUUGAAACAUUUGAUGAAAAUUAUUAUUGAAAGACUUCUUGCUUAAAAAAAAUAAAAUAUUUUUCUCGUCAGUUAGUGAUAAAAUG